UACGUAGGGGGCAAGCGUUGUCCGGAUUUAUUGGGCGUAAAGAGCGUGUAGGCGGCUUUACAGGUCCGUUGUGAAAACUCGAGGCUCAACCUCGAGACGCCGGUGGAAACCGUAAAGCUAGAGUCCGGAAGAGGAGAGUGGAAUUCCUGGUGUAGCGGUGAAACGCGCAGAUAUCAGGAGGAACACCCGUGGCGAAAGCGGCUCUCUGGGACGGUACUGACGCUGAGACGCGAAAGCGUGGGGAGCAAACAGGG
rnacentral:rRNA from 1 species